UACGAACUGUGCGAACGUUAUUCGGAAUCACUGGGCGUAAAGCGUGCGUAGACGGUUAUUUAAGUCGGGUGUGAAAGCCCCGGGCUCAACCUGGGAAUUGCAUUCGAGACUGAAUAGCUAGGGUACGGUAGAGGGAAGUGGAAUUUCCGGUGUAGCGGUGAAAUGCGUAGAUAUCGGAAGGAACAUCAGUGGCGAAAGCGACUUCCUGGACCAGUACCGACGUUCAGGCACGAAAGCGUGGGGAGCAAACAGG
rnacentral:rRNA from 1 species